CAACCUGCCAAAGAAAGUAAACACAGAAGCAGAAGAAGAAGAUAGAUAGAUGGUGAAUGGCAGCGGAAACAGCAGAAAUGAAUGACAAACAAAUGCAAAGAAAAUGUUGAAAUCGCGAAACGUUUGCUGCAGCUUAUCCGUCAGCAUUUCCAGAUUCUUGGUCAACUUGUAUUCUGCCUCGAAUUUCUCAGACAGCAGCACCAAAUCUCUGGCCGCAUCGUGCAGCGGCACAUCGGAGAUGUAAAGUCCCUUUCUAUGUUGGGUGGAAUCAAAACAAAACAAUACCGAAAAGUAAGAGAAAUGACACGCAUUUCGUUUUACUUAAGUCUAUUUAAAUUUGCUUGGCUUCUGAACCAGCGAAAUAGCAAAUAAAAUAAAAUAUGUACAAGAGCCAGACGCCCCCAAAAGGAAAAAAACGAAGAAAAAUACAACAACGACAGACUGAGGACUCUGUACGUGGGCGAUAUGUCUGGCAGGUCUAGGUUUCUGGGUUUCUGGCCAGGUGUGGCGCAAAAACAUUUUUACUGUCACCAAUAAAUUUCGCUAGGUA